GAACGAACGCUGGCGGCAGGCCUAACACAUGCAAGUCGAGCGCACUCUUCGGAGUGAGCGGCGGACGGGUUAGUAACGCGUGGGAAUAUGCCCUUCUCUAAGGAAUAGCCACUGGAAACGGUGAGUAAUACCUUAUACGCCCUUCGGGGGAAAGUUUAUCGGAGAAGGAUUAGCCCGCGUAAGAUUAGAUAGUUGGUGGGGUAAUGGCCUACCAAGUCUACGACCUUUAGCUGGUUUUAGAGGAUGAUCAGCAACACUGGGACUGAGACACGGCCCAGACUCCUACGGGAGGCAGCAGUGGGGAAUCUUGGACAAUGGGCGCAAGCCUGAUCCAGCCAUGCCGCGUGAGUGAUGAAGGCCUUAGGGUCGUAAAGCUCUUUCGCCAGAGAUGAUAAUGACAGUAUCUGGUAAAGAAACCCCGGCUAACUCCGUGCCAGCAGCCGCGGUAAUACGGAGGGGGUUAGCGUUGUUCGGAAUUACUGGGCGUAAAGCGCACGUAGGCGGAUCAGAAAGUAAGGGGUGAAAUCCCAGGGCUCA
rnacentral:rRNA from 1 species